GAUGAACGCUAGCGGCAGGCUUAAUACAUGCAAGUCGAGGGGUAGCAAGAUUGUAGCAAUACAAUUGUUGACGACCGGCAAACGGGUGCGGAACACGUACACAACCUUCCUACAAGUGGGGAAUAGCCCAGAGAAAUUUGGAUUAAUACCCCGUAACAUAGCGAUGUGGCAUCACAUUGCUAUUAUAGCUUCGGCGCUUGUUGAUGGGUGGGCGGCUGAUUAGAUAGUUGGCGGGGUAACGGCCCACCAAGUCUACGAUCAGUAGCUGAUGUGAGAGCAUGAUCAGCCACACGGGCACUGAGACACGGGCCCGACUCCGACGGGAGGCAGCAGUAAGGAAUAUUGGACAAUGGACGCAAGUCUGAUCCAGCCAUGCCGCGUGAAGGAUUAAGGUCCUCUGGAUUGUAAACUUCUUUUAUAAGGGACGAAAAAAGGUCUUUCUAGAUCGUCUGACGGUACCUUAUGAAUAAGCACCGGCUAACUCCGUGCCAGCAGCCGCCGUAAUAC
rnacentral:rRNA from 1 species